AAUUUUUUUUUUUUAUAUUUCCAGAUAUGGAUUGUAAGUAUUAUCUAUGUAUAUUAGCUACUUACCGUAAUUUUGUGUCCAAAUUAUAUAUAUUUGUAUGUCUAAACCAAAAUAUAUUUUAUAAUUGCUAUAGCUGGAUGCAAAAUAUACAUGGAGCAUGUUUUAAAUACGCCUAUUAGCGGUAAGUAUUUAACGAAUUAAAUUUAAUAUAACAUUUAUUUAAUAAUCCGCAUUACACGAACUUGGGAUAUUAGUUAUACAAUACGUGUUAAACCUUUUAAUAAUGCACAACGUAUAAAUAAAUAUUAUAAUAAAUUACUCAUUUUAAACCCUCAUGUGGCCGGGAUCAGAAUACAACAAUUAGCUACUGUACAUCUAACUGUCGUAUGAGUGAACAAAUUCGUUUGUAUUAGGAAAGGAAAGUAGCCAGAAAAUAUCUGUUGUGGGUGAGCAAUAAUUUGAGUCCUAGUAUUAUUUUAAAUCAUUUGUUUCUAAAAAAAAUUUUGGGGGUUUAUCUCACACUUCCCCUUAUGUUGUUUUCUAUAACCAAAAUCUUUUUAAAUUAACAUUUAUCUUUGGCUGGUUAAAAACAAAUCAUUUUCAUAGUUUAAAGGUCUACAGUAGCAUGGUUUCAUUGAGUAGUGAAUGAAUUUCAAUACCAGAAUUUAAAAAUAUUAUUGAAGAAUAAAAGCAUUAAAUAUUUUUUUUUUCAGACUUAAAGCAACCGUCGAAAUUUUUUAGAUUUAGUUCAUAGGUAUGUAGUUAAAAAAAUAAAGUCAACACUAAAAAAAUAGUUAAUGUAUAAAAAUUUGAUAGAUUUAAAGAUUUAAUGAAAAACAUUCUGUGGGCAUAGUUUGGUAGCAACAUUAUUGAAAUGUUGUAAAAAUAAAUACGGCAGAAUAACAUCAUCAUCCGGGUCGAAUGCCUAAUGAUAGUGGAUAUCUUGUUGAUAUGAUUGAAUAUUUAGCCAUAUCAAAACAUUUAAGUUUUACAAAACUAAUCAAAUGUAAAAAUUUUGUUUCAGCGUUCUCUGUUAAUAUUUACUAUAGGUAAUAUAUUUAUAUAUGUAGUAUCAAACAUUAAACAUGGAUACAGCUUUCCUAUAUUAUACGUUUAGUAGUAUGCAUAUUGCAGAACUCAUAUAGAAAUAAACAACAGUUUUCUCUCAAACGACUAUUCCACAUAACAAAAAUAUUUAUAAUAAAUCUACAGCCAUAAUGUAAUAAUAUUAUUGUCAUAAUUAUUAUUUGUUCAUUUAAAAACUAUAUAAUUAUUAUACAAUUGGGUUACAUGUAACAUUCAAUAAACGUAUUAAUUAUAAUUGUUAUUAAUAUUGUUUUAAUUAUUGGUACUUAACUUAUUUUACAUUUGUAUUUAUUUUAAAAUAUUUAUUC